UGGCCAACAUGGAGAAACCCUGUCUCUACUAAAAAUACAAAAAUUAGCCCGGCGUGGUGGCACGCGCCUUUAAUCCCGGCUGCUCGGGAGGCUGAGGCAAGAGAAUCGCUUGAAUCUGGGAGGCGGAGGUUGCAGUGAGCCGAGAUCGUGCCACUGCACAGCCUGGGUGACAGAAACUUCGUCUCAAAAUAAAUAGACUAAAAUAAGCAUUGAACUGAACAGAGGCAGCUCUUACAUCUGUCCAGUCUCGAGCUUAUGCAGAAGCCAGUGUCCUACUGCUCCUUUGGAGGAACUAUUGGUCAUUUAAAGGACUAAUUGAAGACAUUCUGUAGGUCAAGUCUGCCCGGAGCUGAGGGAGUUGCGCAGACAGGUGGUCCUCCGCGCCGGUUUGCAAUUCGGCCCCUGGAAGCAGCGGGAGACGUCGAAGGAGGCGAGAAGGUGCGUGCGCGCCUCAGCAGGCCCGCGGAUGCUGGGUGGUAUCAAGGAGGCGCUCAGAUCGCUGGAGCUGGAGCCCAGCCGGGGGUCUUUUGCGGGACCCGCACCCACCCCGGAGCAUCUUUGGCCCUGUUUCACUGAACUCGCCUUCCUCAUCAGGAAAGUGGGAAGACCGCUCACCUCCAGGACGGUGUGGGAUGGGGAAGAGGGAGCAGGGAGAGGCUGCGGAAUGCGCGGCGCAUACGCUAGCUGGCAUCACCGGGGAUUCCCGCGGGCUCGGUGGGACUCCGGGGCGCUGGCAGCGAGGACCCCCAGCCCAGUCUGGGCCCUCGGCGGCCUCAGUGGCCCAGGCCCGCCUGGCCUCCGCCCGCGGCCCUCCCCUGGGCUGCCGGGAAGCGGGCAGAGGGGCGCACUGGGCAGCGGGCAGGGACCCGGGGACGGCCGGGAGCGCGGGGACCCAGGACGCACGGGGCGGGCCGGGUGGCGCGCGCCUCGCGCCUUCCCCCUCCCCCGCGGCCCGAGCGCGAGCCGCCGUGACGUCACGGGCCACCCGCCAGCCCCGCGCUCCUCCGGGCAGAGCGCGUGUGGCCGCCGAGCACAUGGGCCCGCGGGCCGGGCGGGCUCGGGGCGGCCAGGACGAGGAGGGGCGGCGAGGAGCUGCGGGCGAGGAUGUGCCCCGGGACCCCUGGCACCUUCCAGUGGAUUUCCUUGCGCAAGGGAUGUGGUCGGCCCCGGUGACCUGUGGAGACCCGUCCAGAUCUGCCCUCCGAGGGGAAGACUGAGGCACAGAGACAAUAAGAAACUUGGCCCACAGUCAGCGAGCAAGAAAGCCUCGAUUCAGACCUGGGCACGUGGCUUCAGAGUCCACACGCUUGGCUUCUGCACUGCACUGCACUGAGAGGGGCUGCCAGGCCUGAUCUUUUGGCCAGAAGGAGAUGGAAAAGAUGCCCCUCAAGAUGGCUGUGCCUGUCAGCUGCACGGAGCUUCGGUCAAGUAUUAUUUUCUGAGCCUGAUGGAUUUACAGUAAAUAUUCAGUCAUCUAGGGAAUAACCCUGGUGGAACCUUGCACUGGAAUGACAUAUGCCCAGCACAUUUCAGGAUACUUAAAGUGGUUUUAACAGUGGCUCUGGCUGAAUGCCUCAUGGAUUCUUACAGCUUGGAUGCCCAUGGGGGACGAGGGGUUGCAGCUGGCUGCAAGGACUAAGAUCUCUGUUUACUUGGGUCUCUGCCAACUUCCUUUGGGUCUCCCUGUGGAACCUAAGACCCCGACUCUCCUGGUGAAGCAUCUCACACACGUUCUGUCCGGCGUUCAGCUGGGCUUGAG
rnacentral:lncRNA from 13 species